AUUGAACGCUGGCGGCAUGCUUUACACAUGCAAGUCGAACGGCAGCGCGGGCUUCGGCCUGGCGGCGAGUGGCGAACGGGUGAGUAAUGCAUCGGACCGUGCCCAGUAGUGGGGGAUAGCCCGGCGAAAGCCGGAUUAAUACCGCAUACGACCUGCGGGUGCAAGCGGGGGACCGAACGGCCUCGCGCUAUUGGAGCGGCCGAUGUCGGAUUAGCUAGUUGGUGGGGUAAAGGCUUACCAAGGCGACGAUCCGUAGCUGGUCUGAGAGGACGACCAGCCACACUGGGACUGAGACACGGCCCAGACUCCUACGGGAGGCAGCAGUGGGGAAUUUUGGACAAUGGGGGCAACCCUGAUCCAGCCAUGCCGCGUGCGGGAAGAAGGCCUUCGGGUUGUAAACCGCUUUUGUUCGGGAAGAAAUCCUCUGGGCUAAUACCCCGGGGGGAUGACGGUACCGGAAGAAUAAGCACCGGCUAACUACGUG
rnacentral:rRNA from 1 species